rnacentral:rRNA from 1 species
UACAGAGGGUGCGAGCGUUGUCCGGAAUCACUGGGCGUAAAGGGCGCGUAGGUGGUUGGGUAAGCGUGUGGUGAAAGCCCGGGGCUCAACCCCGGGUCGGGCCAUGCGAACUGCCCGACUGGAGCACGGUAGAGGCCAAUGGAAUUCCGGGUGUAGCGGUGGAAUGCGUAGAGAUCCGGAAGAACACCGGUGGCGAAGGCGGUUGGCUGGGCCGUGGCUGACACUGAGGCGCGACAGCGUGGGAGCAAACAGG